rnacentral:rRNA from 1 species
CAGUUCAGAUUGCAGGCUGCAACCCGCCUGCAUGAAGUCGGAAUUGCUAGUAAUCGCGGAUCAGCAUGCCGCGGUGAAUACCGGUUCCCGGGCCUUGUACACACCGCCCGUCACACCAUGGGAGCCGGUAAUACCCGAAGUCAGUAGUCCAACCUCGUGAGGACGCUGCCGAAGGUAGGAUUGGCGACUGGGGUGAAGUCGUAACAAGGUAAC